rnacentral:rRNA from 1 species
AACUAACGCUGGCGGCGUGCCUAACACAUGCAAGUCGUACGAGAAAGUCGGCUUCGGCUGAUGAGUAAAGUGGCGCACGGGUGAGUAACGCGUGGAUAAUCUGCCCUUGAGUGUGGAAUAACGUACCGAAAGGUGCGCUAAUACCGCAUAAUGCCUGGCAACACAAGUUGUCCGGCCAAAGAAGGCCUCUGUUUACAAGCUUUUGCUCAAGGAUGAGUCCGCGUACCAUUAGCUAGUUGGUGGGGUAACGGCCUACCAAGGCGACGAUGGUUAGCUGGUCUGAGAGGAUGAUCAGCCACACUGGAACUGAGACACGGUCCAGACUCCUACGGGAGCAGCAGUGAGGAAUAUUGCGCAAUGGGGCAACCUGACGCAGCAACGCCGCGUGAGUGAGGAAGGUUUUCGGACUGUAAAGCUCUGUCGAGCGGGAAGAAGUGUACCAUGGCUAAUAUCCAUGAUAUUUGACGGUACCG